rnacentral:lncRNA from 1 species
AACUAUCUCGGUCUAGUGUCGGCAUGGCUCGGUACUCCCCGAACCAGACGAUUCCGCAUUCCUUGAUAUCAUAUAUAGUUGCUUUUGUUUCUGUUUGGUAUCUAUUGGUACAAAUGGCUCUUCUCAGCAAUAAUCAUCAAAUUUUAUUGCUUUUGCCAAUCAUGAAAUUUUUUUCCAUAAUCUUUUUCAUGUGUUUAUUGACUGUUGCUAAUUAUUUUAUAGAGAACCUUUGUUGGUUCUUGGCCACAUAUUUAUGCCCCUCGAAUCUCGCCUUUGCUUUUGAUCCUGUCUAGAUAUCUUCUAGUUUGGUUUGUCUACCUUAUGGUGUAUGAAGUCAUUCUAACUCUUGAUUCAUGUGCAUCCAAUUAUAUAACAUAUGAUGCAUUUGAUUUGACUCUCUAUUUGUCAAUUUCUUACAUGCCACUCCAACAUUAUUGGUUGAUUUUUUGUUUCCUCUUAUUUUUCAUGUUUACAAGCUAUCAAUGAAUUUUGAGCUAGCUUAUAGGUCAUCCUUGCAUAGUGUUACUUGAUUCUUGUUCUUGUUCCGUGCAUUGUCAUUCUUGUAACAAUCCAAGACCUCACCCAAAAUGGCUAGCCGAAAGGUAUUAUUUGGGUUGCUUAAUCCUGUAUAAGCACCCAAGAUCUACCCAGCGAAUAACCGAUGUGGGACUAAACACACGCUUGCACGGGUCCUCAUAUACUCCUUCAGUUCAAACUCUGACGUCCUCGUCAGGCUAAGCGUUCAAAUCCAUUCAAAUCUAAUUACAAACACCACGAUCGGCCCGUGGUCAGCCCGAAUGAAUUUGUACUACAGUGUCCCUUAGUUCAUAUAGGUUAUGGGCUGAAUCCGCUAUGAUACCAUUGGUAACAACUCAAGACCUCACCCAAAAUGGCUAGCCGGAAGGUAUUAUUUGGGUUUCUUGAUCCUGUAUAAGUAUCCAACAUCUACCCAGUGAAUAAUCGAUAUAGAACUAAACACACACCUGCACGGGUCCUCAUAAUUCUUCAUGGAGGUAAUUGGGGGCUAACUGUUGGCUUUGUGAUCUUUUCUAGAUGGGUAAUUUUCACCCAUCACCUAAUGUUUCCUUUUGGAAGUCACCUCU